AUGUUGAACACCAAAUUUAGGUCAUAAACGAUGAUAACUCGAUAUAACAGGACAUAAUAUUAGAUAGUAUAUAAAUCGUAAAAUAGUAUUAUAUUAGUAUUAUAAUAUAACACUAUAAUGUGGUUUGAUUGUAGGAAAAAAAAUACUUAGCAACUCGCAUAUGGCAAAAGAAAAAGAUAAGAAUAAGACGCGCGUAUAGCGUAUAUAAUAAGCAUUAUAACACAAUUUUUAUCUGAGGCCGCCAGAGUAAAUAAAAUAUAUAAUUCAUCACGUCGGCAUGACAAUUAUAUCGCUGUCGGGACAAACUAUAAAAGUAAUUAUUUAAUUAAAAAAAAAAUAAAUAGAUUAAAACGACAUCGUUAAAUGUUUUGUGCGUCAACUGCAGUAUAGAAAUAAUCGGUGGUGGAUGGUUAUAACGACAUAUAUGCGAGAUAAGCCUCGCCGAAACUAUAAUCGAACAAUAAUUAUAAUUAUCGACCGAUUAAACGGUAAAGGCCGCCCGGGGCCAGUACUUAAAUAGCCGCUGACAGUACGUUUCGGCAAUAGUCCAUCGUCUACCAAGCCUCGAGAUGUCGACGACCACCACAAUGAUGAAAACACAAGACCACUAUAGCGACGAUCAAGACUUAGACGACCACGACUUAAGACGACUAUGGCGACGACCAAAACUACGACGGUGGUAUUCAUAACUCUGCGUCCAGGUGUAGCAGCGACUGCUGCCAUCGUACACACAUACGUCCAUUAUAAUGUACAUGAAUAAUGCGUGUGACGAGACUCACGGAAUAUUACGUCUGGAGAAUUGGAAUCAACGGAUUAUGCCCGCAAUGUAUACACACGAACGAACGUCGUGUACUGCAUAUUAUAUUAUUCCAACACAAUACCAUAAUGGUGCGGCAAUACUGCAGCGUGGAAGCGAAAAGGAAACGAAAAACAAUAACAGAGGUGACGAUUUUUCCAUACGUUGUAAUUUUAACACGUACACCUAAUAUACGCGUAUAGGUAAUAUAGUUUAUAUAAUAUGGCGAGCGCGCGUGUUUCUAGGUUAAGUCUGGUAUCGUCUCCUCACCCUACCGUCGAGUACCUUUUGUUUUUCUAUAAACCGCAGCGUUCGGUCUGCACAUGUAUUUUAGUUAUUUGUUACUUAUCGUACGUUUUUGUCGCGUGUUCUCGUAGAAGCUUUGCGCGUUACCAGGUCAACGUUAUGUAGCCGAGCAUACCACAUUGUUUACACGCCUAACUCUGCGCCGUCAACGGUCUUUAUUUGUGGGUCGUACCAUCCACCCUAUCCGCUAGUUUGAUACUCUAAAGAUAUUAUUGUAAACGCCUUUUAAUAUUAUACAUCCAAAUAAGUGUUCUAAUAUAUGUGAUACGUAUACACUAUACAGUUUGUCGAGUUUCGGUGGAGAUAUGACAAAGGAAGUCGGCGAGGUUUACUGUAUAAUGUCGAGUCGACGAAAAGCACGAGCGUCACACGACGGCUCGGAAAGGGGUGUUUUUUUAUUGUCGUUCCGAGACGCGUCGAGAAUUUCGAGUUUCCGAGAGUCGCGGACUGCUGCAAUAAUGACGCUUUGAUGCGCAGCCCUUCGGGUCGCGUGCGCGUAAGACUUAAUCGCUCGGGCUUCGUGGGGGGGUGGGCGUUGGGUGAAAAGCCACUCCUUCGUCGCGUAUCGAUCGGCGGCGGGGCGGGCCGAGCGUCCACCCGCCGUUGGCCCAGCAAAAGCCCGCGGCGGACGGCAGGCGCAAGCGCUGCGGCGGUGACUUUGCAGCGCGCCGGGCCGUGGAAAAGCCGCCGCCGCCGAUCGUGUCUUUUGCGCGACCGACGUAUAAUUCCCAUCGUCAUACCGCAACCGUCGUUGGCGGUGGCUGUGCGUCGUCAUCGUCGUCAUCGUCGUCGUCGUCGCCGUCGCCGCCGCCGCCGCCACGAACACAUCGCGCCGAGAAGCUUUGCCAGCCGCCCGCUGAGAAUUCAUCCACAACUCAUUACUCGCUCUUCGUGCAUAAAAUAUAAAGAUGUGCUGCACCGGUUAUGACGACAUGUGUAUAAUGAGCUGUUCCUCGUCGGCUCGUCCGGUGGUCUGCCUGCCGAGCAUCGCCGCAGAGCUGAAAAUGUCGACUCGACGAAUAAUGCGUGGCACCCUGUACGUAUACUAAAUGUAUCCUGAGUGCAUUAUAAAACUGUCCGGUAUACCUUCAGUAUACGUAACAGGGUGCCAUACCGAUCGUCCUGAAGUGGUCCCGUGGAGCUGCCUGCAGCGUUAUCAUCUACGACGUCGCCGUCGUCUUUUUGCGUACAAUUUUAUACUUGUAUACAUAAAUAAAUAUACAUAUUGUUGUUUGUCGUGUCAUACCUUAAACGUGUAAAACAUUUAGUUUGUUACAAAAAAUAAAUUAAUGUAUUGCAGCGCUUGCGAAUCUAAUACACACACGCAUAUUAUAUUUAUAUAUUACAUAAUAAUAACAUCGUAAUAGGUGUACCUAUAACCUAUAUACAUAUAUAAUAUAUAAAUUAUGAUCAUUACAGUAUAAAUUAUUGUUAAUAUUAUUUUACUCGGCAAGCCUACUCGAUUCAUUUGUUAUUUUUUUUUUUUUUUUUAUUGACACUAUCUGUUCAAGUUAUAAAAUUCCUUAGUUCGAAAAAGGAAAACUAUUUAUGAAUAUCUAUUAUACUCUAUUUAUUGUAUGACUGUUAUUGUCGCGAGAUUGUAAUCGGAAAUAAAAAAUAAUAUACAUACCUAUAACAUACAUACAUUUAUAUAUAUAUAUAUAUAUAUAUAUAUUAUAUUAUAUGGUGCAUUAUAUGCUCGCGAAACCCGUUUGCCCCGAUGGGAAAUUGCACGACAGUAAAUCCGUAAUGUUUACGAUGUUUAUACGAUACGUAAAACGUGUAGGUUUAUUAUUAUUAUUAUUACUAUUAGUGUAUAGUAGCAGUUAUGGUAUAUAUAGCGAAGAGUAGGCUUGCGUGAUGUGUUUUAAUAUACAUAUAGAUUUCUAUAAACAGCUCAUUACAAUAAUACAUAUAUUACGUACAAUUUGUAAUAAUAUUAUUAUAAUAUUAUAUGAUGCAUCGCGUAUAUAUAUGCCUAAUGGGUUUUUCAAAAACGUUUUGUAAUUUUUUUUUUCGAGCAUAAUAUAAACUUUUGUCGGGCUUUACAAUAAAAUUGUACGUUUGGGUGGUGUA